AGUGAACGCUGGCGGUAGGCCUAACACAUGCAAGUCGAACGGCAGCACAGUAAGAGCUUGCUCUUACGGGUGGCGAGUGGCGGACGGGUGAGGAAUACAUCGGAAUCUACUUUUUCGUGGGGGAUAACGUAGGGAAACUUACGCUAAUACCGCAUACGACCUACGCGUGAAAGCAGGGGAUCUUCGGACCUUGCGCGAUUGAAUGAGCCGAUGUCGGAUUAGCUAGUUGGCGGGGUAAAGGCCCACCAAGGCGACGAUCCGUAGCUGGUCUCAGAGGAUGAUCAGCCACACUGGAACUGAGACACGGUCCAGACUCCUACGGGAGGCAGCAGUGGGGAAUAUUGGACAAUGGGCGCAAGCCUGAUCCAGCCAUACCGCGUGGGUGAAGAAGGCCUUCGGGUUGUAAAGCCCUUUUGUUGGGAAAGAAAAGCAGCAGGUUAAUACCCCGCUGUUCUGACGGUACCCAAAGAAUAAGCACCGGCUAACUUCGUG
rnacentral:rRNA from 1 species